rnacentral:rRNA from 1 species
CGCGUAGGGGGCGGUCGGUGUCCGAAUUUACUGGGCGUAAAGCGCGCGUAGGCGGGCCGAUAAGUGGGAAGUGAAAGGCUUGGGCUCACCCCAAGCAGUGCUUCUCAGACUGUCGGUCUUGAGGGCGGUAGGGAGAAGUGGAAUGGCUGGUGUAGCGGUGAAAUGCGUAGAUAUCAGUCGGAACACCGGUGGCGAAGGCGGCUUCUUGGGCCGUUCCUGACGCUGAGGCGCGAAAGCCAGGGGAGAGAACGGG